rnacentral:misc_RNA from 1 species
UUUUGUACUACUUUUUUUUUUUUUCAACUGGUUUAAUCAUAUAACUUAACUAUAUGUGUACAAUAAAAUUUUCCGAGGAUGAUUUGAUACUAGUAGGACGGGAAAUGGCACUCAAGUCCUUUUUCAUCCAAGGGAACUUCAGAGUUGUGAGCCACAAGUGGGAGCAGCGAACUACGUGGUCAAGAAUGUACCCAAACACCCAUGAAUUAAGUCCUAUGAAUUGUCAAUAUCAAUGUACUCAGAUGCUGGUUCAUCAGAAUCAGAUCCAUCAUCAAAGCUUAUAUUUUGAGUUUCCACAGCAUUAUUCCCCCAGCUCUGAUCACCUGCUCUUAGAAAAUCUUUCAAAUCAUCUAAAAUAUAAGGUUCCACCAGUUUCCAGAACCAUGUGGAAUCACUUCCUAAAAAUCCUAUCCAAAACACAUUUCCCUUUCCCUUCACCCUGCAAUUGAGAGAUUUCGCUUUUAAAGUUUUAACAACCUUUUCAACCCCCUCUCUACUUCCUUUAAGCUUCAACAAGAUAUCCUUGGAUGAUGUUCUGUGCCCUCCAUACAUAUACCAGUAUGCAAGAACCUGUGGUGACAGCCACCUAUGAAUUAGCUUUGGUAUUGUGGCCCGACCUUUAGGCCAAAACUGGUCUGCAUAGAAACCAAAGUAAGAGUGUGAGAUAGUAGAAAAUCUGCAAGAUACAUCAUCACUACCAUCACUAAUCUUACAGGAGGGAUGUAACCACUCAUGGUACUGGUCAUAUAAAUAUCUCCUCAAAACACAAUGUGUGCUAGAACUCUCAUUGAACUCAAAUUGUAUCCUGUGUCUCUUCCUUUGUUCAUCUGAAUCAAUUCGCAAACCUCCUAACAGCAACCCCACUAAAAUUUCUCUCUGAUCUUUGCUUAGCUUGAGGCUUACAGGCUUCUUAACCUCUUUCCUACUCAAGCUCAAUACAUAUUCAAGCUUUCCCAUUAAUGAGGAUUCAAUAUCAUAUUUCUUCUGGCACAUCAGAUCAUAUAUCUUCUCCGCCUUCAUGUAGUCUCCAGAAGAGAGGUACCCUUUGAGAAUAAUAUUGCAUGAUCUGGUGUUAACACCAACAACUUUAUCUCUAUACAUAUGGUUGAAGGUCUCUUCUGCUUUCUCAAGAUCACCACUUUUUACCAAAGAAUCCAGGUAUAUAUUGCAAAUAGUCAGCUUUCUCUGCAUGCCUUGAGACCUGUCAACCAAACCGGACUAUUUGCAAU